AUACGGAGGGUGCAAGCGUUAAUCGGAAUUACUGGGCGUAAAGCGCGCGUAGGCGGUUUUGUAAGUCGGAUGUGAAAGCCCAGGGCUCAACCUUGGAAUUGCAUUCGAAACUGCAUGACUAGAGUAUGGUAGAGGGAAGUGGAAUUCCAGGUGUAGCGGUGAAAUGCGUAGAUAUCUGGAGGAACAUCAGUGGCGAAGGCGACUUCCUGGACCAAUCCUGACGCUGAGGUGCGAAAGCGUGGGGAGCAAACAGGAUUAGAAACCCCGGUAGUCC
rnacentral:rRNA from 1 species